GGCCAGCAUGGUAAAGUGGUUUGAGUAUUUGACUAGGACUCUGGGAGAGCAGGGUUCAAAUCCCUGCUUGGCCA